GGCAACCACGAGGAGAGGACUCGAAGAGGACUCGAGGAGGGAGAUGUAUCGAUAUAUAUUAUAUAAAAUCUACUGUUGGAUGCUGUGAAGAGGUGUAGACUCUGAGACUGAUGCAGCGAUGGCAGAACACCUGAAGCUCGCUCCAGGAAGAGAUGUGGGUGGAGGUUACAAGAAAUGAGCCAAACAACUGUAGUAUGUUUAAGGGAUAGUUCACCCAAAAAUGAAAAUAGUCAUAAUUUUCUCACCCUCAUGUUAUGAUCAUAAUAAUUUUUCCUACAGUGGCAGUUAAUGGAUUGUGAGAUCUGCUUGGUUACAAACAUUCUUCCAAAUAACUUUGUGUUUAUAAGACAACUGUGUAAGUCAAUGACAAGAUUAAUAAAGAAUUGAUAAAAAGAAACCAUCUUUUAACAUUCUAGUAGAAAACACAUGAACGCAUUCUCAGAAAUGUAAUAUUUGAAUUCAUGUCGGUUCUAUACAGUUUAAAUCAUUUACACCACUUUGAUUUUAUAAAUAACAAUGAUUUCAAACAUAUUUUAUGAUGAAGGUCUUAUGUUUUAUGAUUUUCUUGUCACAUGACAACAAUGGCUCCUGCAAGGUGUUUAUGCCACAUGUUCAAAUAUUAAUAAUAUUCUUAAUAUUAUAUGAUUAAAGUAUUUAAAAAUAAAUGCAAUUAAUAUUGAUUUAUAUUAUUAUAUAUUAAAAACAUUAAUAAAAAACACUGUGCAAAUAGAAAUUUUUGACAAUAAUAAUGGACUUUAAGAUUGAGUAUUUCAGCACUUUUUAUUCAGUGAUGCCCCUCAUUAAAUCAUAUUUCUGAUGAAAAUGGUAGGCCUGUAAACUUAUUUCAGAAAUCCAAAAUGGAUACAAUGAUUACAUUAAAAACAAAUUUUUUAAAUAGAUUAUCAUCUUGAAGAUACUUAUUUGUCAUUGUCCCAGUAAAGCAAACAUGAAAACAAUAUUGUCAGAACACAGAAAGGUAUACAGGUUUGAAACAUGAGGGUGAGUAAAUGACAGAAUUUCCCCUUUAUAUAAUAAUUCUGUAUUUUGUAAUUGGUAUUUUAGUUUGGUUAACAGAUGCUAAACUGUUCAAAAACAAUAAAAUGUGCUAAAUCAGAA